AACGCACAUGGCGCCUUCCAGUAUCCUGGGAGGCAUGCCUGUCCGAGCGUCGUUUCAACCCUCGAGCCCCCGUGGCCCGGCGUUGGGGAUCUGCCCAGGCAGUCCCCGAAAACCAGUGGCGGGCUCGAAGUCGAACCGAGUGCAGUAAAUUUCUUCGCUUGGGAAGGUGACGAGUUCCGGCCGUAAAAAGCCCAACUUUAUCAAGGUUGACCUCGGAUCAGGUAGGACUACCCGCUGAACUUAA
rnacentral:misc_RNA from 1 species